UACGAAGGGGGCUAGCGUUGCUCGGAAUCACUGGGCGUAAAGCGCACGUAGGCGGCUUCUUAAGUCAGGGGUGAAAUCCUGGAGCUCAACUCCAGAACUGCCUUUGAUACUGAGGAGCUUGAGUCCGGGAGAGGUGAGUGGAACUGCGAGUGUAGAGGUGAAAUUCGUAGAUAUUCGCAAGAACACCAGUGGCGAAGGCGGCUCACUGGCCCGGUACUGACGCUGAGGAGCGAAAGCGUGGGGAGCAAACAGGAUUAAGAA
rnacentral:rRNA from 1 species